UAAGUACUUUCUCCGUCCCAAAAUUCUUGUCUUAGAUUUGUCUAGAUACGGAUGUAUCUAAUACUAAAACGUGGCUUGAUACAUCCGUAUUUAGACAAAUUUAAGACAAGAAUUUUAGGACGGAGGGAGUAGUAC
rnacentral:pre_miRNA from 1 species